rnacentral:rRNA from 1 species
GUUUGAUCCUGGCUCAGGAUGUACGCUGGCGGCGUGCCUAAUACAUGCAAGUCGAGCGAAUGGAUUAAGAGCUUGCUCUUAUGAAGUUAGCGGCGGACGGGUGAGUAACACGUGGGUAACCUACCCAUAAGACUGGGAUAACUCCGGGAAACCGGGGCUAAUACCGGAUAAUAUUUUGAACUGCAUAGUUCUGAAAUUGAAAGGCGGCUUCGGCUGUCACUUAUGGAUGGACCCGCGUCGCAUUAGCUAGUUGGUGAGGUAACGGCUCACCAAGGCGACGAUGCGUAGCCGACCUGAGAGGGUGAUCGGCCACACUGGGACUGAGACACGGCCCAGACUCCUACGGGAGGCAGCAGUAGGGAAUCUUCCGCAAUGGACGAAAGUCUGACGGAGCUACGCCGCGUGAGUGAUGAAGGCUUUCGGGUCGUAAAACUCUGUUGUUAGGGAAGAACAAGUGUCUAGUGGAAUAAGCUGGCACCUUGACGGUACUCUAACCA